rnacentral:sRNA from 1 species
UCUUGAAUAUGUGUACGGCUGCUUUGCC